rnacentral:rRNA from 1 species
AUUGAACGCUGGCGGCAGGCCUAACACCUGCAAGUCGAACGAGUGGCGGACGGGUGAGUAAUGUCUGGGAAACUGCCUGAUGGAGGGGGAUAACUACUGGAAACGGUAGCUAAUACCGCAUACCAUCGGAUGUGCCCAGAUGGGAUUAGCUAGUAGGUGGGGUAAAGGCUCACCUAGGCGACGAUCCCUAGCUGGUCUGAGAGGAUGACCAGCCACACUGGGAAUGAGACACGGGCCAGACUCCUACGGGAGGCACCAUUGGGGAAUAUUGCACAAUGGGCGCAGGCCUGAUGCAGCCAUGCCGCGUGUAUGAAGAAGGCCUUAGGGUUGUAAAGUACUUUCAGCGGGGAGGCGUUACCCGCAGAAGAAGCACCGGCUAACUCCGUGCCAGCAGCCGCGGUAAUAC